UACGGGGGGAGCAAGCGUUGUUCGGAUUUACUGGGCGUAAAGGGCGCGUAGGCGGUCAGCACAAGUCAGUUGUGAAAUCUCCGGGCUUAACUCGGAAAGGUCAACUGAUACUGUGCGACUAGAGUGCAGAAGGGGCAACUGGAAUUCUCGGUGUAGCGGUGAAAUGCGUAGAUAUCCGGAGGAACACCUGUGGCGAAAGCGGCCACCUGGACUGCACCUGACGCUGAAACGCGAAAGCUAGGGGAGCGAACGGGG
rnacentral:rRNA from 1 species